rnacentral:rRNA from 1 species
GAUUCUGGCUCAGGAUGAACGCUGGCGGCGUGCUUAACACAUGCAAGUCGAGCGGAGGUUGUACUUCGGUACAACCUUAGCGGCGGACGGGUGAGUAACGCGUGGGUGACCUGCCUUAUACAGGGGGAUAACAGUGAGAAAUCACUGCUAAUACCGCAUAAGACCACAGUGCUGCAUGGCACAGAGGUAAAAGGAGCAAUCCAGUAUAAGAUGGACCCGCGUCUGAUUGGCUAGUUGGAGAGGUAACGGCUCACCAAGGCGACGAUCAGUAGCCGACCUGAGAGGGUGAUCGGCCACAUUGGGACUGAGACACGGCCCAAACUCCUACGGGAGGCAGCAGUGGGGAAUAUUGCACAAUGGGGGGAAAAACCCCCUGAUGCAGCAACGCCGCGUGAAGGAAGACGGUUUUCGGAUUGUAAACUUCUAUCGACGGGGAAGAAUAAAUGACAGUACCCGAGUAAGAAGCCCCGGCUAACUACGUGCCAGCCGCCGC